rnacentral:tRNA from 1 species
UCUCCGGUGGCGUAAUUGGCAGCGCGGCACCCUGUUAAGGUGACGGUUGCAGGUUCGAGUCCUGCCCGGAGAG